rnacentral:rRNA from 1 species
UACAGAGGUCCCAAGCGUUGUUCGGAUUCACUGGGCGUAAAGGGUGCGUAGGUGGCGAGGUAAGUCGGAUGUGAAAUCUCGGAGCUCAACUCCGAAACGGCAUUGGAAACUACCUUGCUAGAGGGUUGGAGGGGGGACUGGAAUUCUCGGCGUAGCAGUGAAAUGCGUAGAUAUCGAGAGGAACACCAGUGGCGAAGGCGAGUCCCUGGACAACUCCUGACACUGAGGCACGAAAGCUAGGGGAGCAAACAGG